GGGUUGGUGUCCGAGUGGUCUAAGGAGGUGGACUUAAGACCCACUGUGUUCGCACGCGAGGGUUCGAACCCCUUCCAUCCCA